rnacentral:rRNA from 1 species
GACGAACGCUGGCGGCGUGCUUAACACAUGCAAGUCGAACGGAAAGGCCCCGCUUUUGUGGGGUGCUCGAGUGGCGAACGGGUGAGUAACACGUGAGUAACCUGCCCUUGACUUUGGGAUAACUUCAGGAAACUGGGGCUAAUACCGGAUAGGAGCCCCUGCUGCAUGGUGGGGGUUGGAACGUUUCGGCGGUCGGGGAUGGACUAGCGGCUUAUCAGCUUGUUGGUGGGGUAGUGGCUUACCAAGGCUUUGACGGGUAGCCGGCCUGAGAGGGUGAACGGCCACAAUGGGACUGAGAGACGGCCCAGACUCCUACGGGAGGCAGCAGUGGGAAAUAUUGCACAAUGAGCGGAAGCCUGAUGCAGCAACGCCGCGUGCGGGAUGACGGCCUUCGGGUUGUAAACCGCUGUCGCCUGUGACGAAGCGUGAGUGACGGUAAUGGGUAAAGAAGCACCGGCUAACUACGUG